UGGGGAAUAUUGGACAAUGGGGGGGACUCUGAUCCAGCCAUGCCGCGUGUGUGAAGAAGGCCUUCUGGUUGUAAAGCACUUUAAGCGAGGAGGAGGCUCCUGUAGUUAAUACCUACAGAGAGUGGACGUUACUCGCAGAAUAAGCACCGGCUAACUCUGUGCCAGCAGCCGCGGUAAUACAGAGGGUGCGAGCGUUAAUCGGAUUUACUGGGCGUAAAGCGUGCGUAGGCGGCUUUUUGAGUCGGAUGUGAAAUCCCCGGGCUUAACUUUGGAAUUGCAUGCGAUACUGGGGAGCUAGAGUAUGAGAGAGGAUAGUAGAAUUCCAGGUGUAGCGGUGAAAUGCGUAGAGAUCGGGAGGAAUACCGAUGGCGAAGGCAGCCAUCUGGCCCAAUACUGACGAUGAGGUACGAAAGCAUGGGGAGCAAACA
rnacentral:rRNA from 1 species